UCUUAUGUGGAUGAUGAUGACUGUUGCUGAGACUCUGUGAUUGCUCAGUCUUAAAGUAAAUGCCCUGAGGCACAGAGG